AUUUGGACUUUUAUUCUUAUGAAACCUUUAUUAACCUUUAUUAAAAAAAAUAAAAAAAUGAAAUGAUCAUAUAUGGCAAAGGGUGGCCGGCCAUGUGGUGUUUUAGAGUGGUGUGAACCCAAAUUUUUAUAAAAUUUAAAUGCCAUUUAAUUAAGAGGUCAAGUGGGCAAGUGGGUAGAAAAGCACUCAAGUACCUUGUGAUAUUUUGAAGAGUAUUGUGAGCAAUUCCCACACUAAGAACCGAUCACUCUCCAUCUCUCAUUCACUAUCAUCUUUUUUGAAGACCUCUCAAAGUGUUCUCUCCAUUUUUCAAGCCCAAGAACACCAAGGAAACUUUGAGGCUAAGUCUUGGUCUAGGAAGUAUUUUCCCUAAGUUUGUUAGGGUUUUUGAAAGGUUUUGAAGGAGUCAAAGCUUAUAGGAAGGUCCAAACCUUAAGCAAGAACACCAAAGAGGUAAGAGCAAGGGCAAGGCAGAGCAGUGAGCGCUGGAGUCUUCCUUGCAAAUGUACAUGUGGACCGACCUUUUGGGAAGCCUUUUUAUUUUUGGAAAUGUUGUGUAAUUUUCCUAAACUAGGCUCACUCUAAUCUUUGUAAAACAUGUUUGUAACUAAAUGUUAAGUAUGGCCAUACGACUUUUUAAAAAGUUUUUUUUUCUAUGGGUUUUUGAGACAUUUUGUUAAAUGAAAACAUUUAUAU